GUACAGUGGAUAGGAAUCCGGCUGCCAACGCAGGGAACGUGGGCUCAAUCUCUGGUCUGGGAAGAUCCCACAUACCUCGGAGCAAUGAAGCCCAUGUACCACAACUGCCGAGCCCACAUGCCCCCAAGCCUGUGCUCCGCAGGAAGAGAAGCCACUGCAGUGAGAAGCCCACACACUCAACGAAGAGAACCCGCUCACCGCAACUAGAGAAAGCCCUCGAGUGUCAAUGAAGACCCCAUGUAGCCAAUAAGAUGGUGGAGUAGCAGUUCUGUGGAUGAGAAUAUCAAGCAGGCAUUUUGAUGAUGCAGGUAAUGAAGCUGGUUGGAGAAAAUGGGAACUGCAUUGGAAAAUACCAAAUGAAUUCUUUUGUGUUCUCCUGUUCUAAUGCCUGGGUCAAAGCAACCCAAACCAACCGCAGUUCUGCAACACCAGCAUCAAGGUCAGUUGGGAGCUAACCCCCUGGGAAGUCCAGGGGCUGCUGCAUCAUUGAU
ensembl:lncRNA